GACAGAGGUGCCGAGCGUUAGGCGGAAUCACUGGGCUUAAAGCGUGUGUAGGCGGCCCGUUAAGUGCCCCGUGAAAUCCCCCGGCUCAACCGGGGAACUGCGGGGCAUACUGGCGGGCUUGGGUCGCUCAGGGGCAGACGGAACAGGCGGUGGAGCGGUGAAAUGCGCAGAUAUCGGGAAGAACACCCGUGGCGAAGGCGGCUCUCUGGGACGGUACUGACGCUGAGACGCGAAAGCGUGGGGAGCGAACAGG
rnacentral:rRNA from 1 species